UUACACUUACCUUUGUUGCCACGCCUUUACCGGUUACUUCUUACGUAACUUGGCUCAACUCGACGUCACUGAUCCUCCUCGGGAUAAAGUUGUCAUUCUUGGAGAUGGAAAUGUGAAAGGUAGCAAACUUAUUCACAAAACAGUUUUAGUACUAGUAUUCUACUAAACAUACAUCAUUCAAUUGUUUCAACAUUUGCCUUAAUUUUUUUUUUUUUCAGGAGCUUAUGUCACUGAGGCUGAUGUUGGGACUUUUACCAUUAAAGCAGCAAAUGAUCCCAACACAUUGAACAAAGCUGUCCAUAUAAGACUCCCCAAAAAUUAUUUGACCCAAAAUGAGGUUAUUUCUCUUUGGGAGAAAAAGAUUGGGAAGACUCUUGAGAAAACUUAUGUUUCAGAGGAACAAGUUCUCAAGGAUAUUCAAGGUCAGUAAAAUAAACGCUUUAUAAAUAUUGUUAAGAAUUUUUACAAUGUUAAUCAAUCAAUAAAUCGUUAAAAUUAUUUGAUUUUAAUUAUAUCUAUGCUUACUACGCAGAAUCUUCAUUCCCUCAUAACUACUUGUUGGCAUUGUAUCAUUCACAACAAAUAAAAGGAGAUGCAGUUUAUGAGAUUGAUCCAACCAAAGAUAUUGAAGCUUCUGAAGCCUAUCCUGAUGUCACAUACACCACUGCUGAUGAAUAUUUGAAUCAAUUUGUCUAAGUUUGUCAUCCCGGAAAUGUUAAAUAAGACAAAGAUUAUUUUUUCUUAAUAGUUUCACAUGUUGUACCACAUCAAUUAUAUUGUUAGUUGUCCUUGUUGUCUUGUUCUCAAUAAACCUUCCAAUUGAUGUAAUAUUUUACAAAAAUAAUAAUAUUGUAUUGUUCUAUUGUUUGCACAUUUGUGUCACUAGUAUCACUCUAUUAUUUUGUUGUUGCCCGUGAAUGGGUGACUCAAUAAAUUAUUUAAUACCCACGUCAGGAUGGACCGAUCUACCGUAUGAAGCAAUAUUUGUUUGGUCUCGGUUAUAAAUUUAAAUUAUUUACACACAUGCAAAAGAAAAAAAGUAGAAAGAAUGAACCAAUAUUUUUUUAUUUUAUUUUUAUGGGGGUGUUUGUUUGGGAGAUAAAAAAUAUAUUCCUGGGUAUAAGGGCAUUAAAUAUGAUAUUCCUAUGUUUGGUAGAAGGGAACAAAAAUAAUAUACCCAGGAAUAAAUGAUUCCCAGGAAUCUUAUUUACCCGUUGACUCUCUAUUUUUAUUCCCGGGGGUGGGGGGCUGGAAUCUUCAAUUCCUGAGAAUGAAAUCUCCACAUUCAUGACGAAAACCCACCCAUACCCCUAUUUUACCCACGCUUCUUCCCUCCUAAUUUUUCCCACGCGUUUUCUAAAUUAAUAGAAACCCACAUAUAUAUAAACCCCUCUUUGCUCUCUCUUUUCACUCAUCUGGAUCCAGAUCCAUCCAUAACAGGUUUGUGUCUUAUGUUUUGUUUUGUUUUUUGCGUUUUUUUAACUGCUGGACAGAUUCUCGGCCUGCCAGGCUGCUGUACCAGCGGAGCUGGGCCGCGCAAAUGCGAGUUUCGGUGACUGACAUUCGAGCGGGCAUCCACCAUUCUGUUGCUGUUGCAUGUCAAAGGUGUUGGGCAGUCUGCCAACCUUCAAUUAAAUGGCGUGUAACAACUUGAAACAGGGUACUCUUGUUAUGUAUUAAAAAACAAGUAUAUACCCUGACCAAUACCUUUGUUGACUCGCAUAAUUUACUUUGCUUGAUUAAAAAUAACAUGAAAAAUAUUAUUUUUCAUCAAUUUAAUGUAAAAGGGUAUUUUAAUAAUUUUGACAUUUAUUCCUGGGAUUAUACAUUUUAAACCAAACAUAUUUUUAGUAUUCCCAGGAAUUUAGAAAGAAAGUUCCAAGGAAUUCAAAUUGGUAACCAAACACUUUUUUAAAAUAUUCCUAGGAAUAUAAUUCCAAGGAAUAUAUUCCUGGGAAAAUUAUUCCAGGGAAUAAUUUUUGCAUCUGUGAAACAAACGGCCCCUAUAUUAUUGAAAUAAGUGCCCUAAAGGCAUUUGUUAGCAUUCUCCUUAAAAUAAUUAUAUGAUGUGUAUUUUGAUUGUGCACUUAAAUGAUUUGAAUUUGUGGUUGUGACUAUAUAAAAAUUAUUCGACGGCAUGAUCAACAGACCGUGUGAACAAUUGAAAUAUAUUAAAUAAUCAUGUUCAGACAUCCCUUACUUGUAGAGGUGUCAAAUGGACUGGACAACCCAGUUCGGCUUAAGAGUUUUGACUACAUAAAUGAACCAGUCUGACCAAGCCCAUUUGUAAUUGGGCCGCAUAAAAUAUAAUUGAAUGGAUAUAGAAGUAUAAAUAUUUUUUACAUUACCAUUAAAUACUAAUUAAACUCUAGAUUUAUUUCUUCAAUUGAAUCAAAUUAAUACUACAUCCGUCCAUAAUUAUAGGAUCCUUUUGAAAAAUAACAGGAAUUAAGAAAAUUAAAAGUGAUAAUAAAUUUGUUUUUAAUUACAAUUGUUUUUACAAAUUUGUCUUUUAAGAGUGGGUUAGUCCGUUAAUGUAUGUUUACAAUGUAGUAUUUAAUGAUGAUUGAAGAAAAAGAUAUACAAUAAAUAGGGGUAUGGUGGUAAAGAAUUAAUUAAUAUAUUUGGAAAUAGCAAAGAGAUUUUUAUAAAAAGAGACAAAAAAAUUCUCAAAAGGGUCCUAUAAUUAGGGACAGAGACAGUAGUUUAUAAACUUUAGAAUUUUAAAACUUUGAACUAAAUUUAUGCAUUUUUAUUAAGUUGACUUAUUUCAAUAUAUUUUAUUAAUAAAUUUUUAAAGUAGUUGAUAAUGUUUUUAAAAAAUAUAGCGUUUUUUAACAAAAAUAAAAUAAAAGUAUAGAUAGUAGGUCGGUCCGAAGUCCGAUAGGUUAGCCUGACUCGGCCCCAUUUUCAUAUGGAUCAAAUGAGCUAAGGUAAAAAAAAAUACGAGAGUAUUUUUAGUUAGGUUUGUGGUUCGGCCCAAAAUGUGUCAUUUUUUAUGUCUCUACUUACUAGCCAUCUCACCAUUAACAACGAUUUGUCAACUAAACAAUGUCAUCUUCUUUUCUAUUAAAGUUAACCCGGAAGCCCUAAUUUUAACCUAAACUAUAUUGCAUAAAUUUACUGUUUUAACCCUAAUGCUUAAUUCCUUUGUUUAAUCCUAUUAACCCUAUUUCUUGGUUGAAACAAAUUGAACCUAAUCUCCUAUUUUCUUGAAUAAAACAAAUUGGCCCUAUUUCUUCAACAAAACAAAUCGCUUUAUUUCUUGCUUUAAAAAAGAAACAACAACUCAAGUUGGGAUACUCUACUUGACCUAGAAGAGAAAUAACGGAAAGAAGAACUUGCCUUUUUGAGAACUUAUUGUCGGAACUCGGAAGCAAUGGUGAUCUGCUAAGUUUAUGGCGAGUUCGAUUGAUUAUGAGCUGCUAAGUUCGAUUGAGUAAGAGUUCGAUUGAUUAUGAGUUGCGAAGUUCCAUUGAGUAACAGGCAACAAAUCCUUCUUCUCAUGGCGGUAGGGAUGAGAGAUUUUGCUUACAACAAAUUAAUGGCAUGAUCAUAGGAAAGAGAUUUUAGUUUCUAGGUUUAGUAAGAACAAUGGGAUGAGAAAUGAUGAGGUAGAGUUGCAUGUGAAGAUAUGAUGAGGGAGAUAAAGAUGUUGAUAGGUUUUGGAAUAGGAAAGUAAUUUUUAUGAGAGAGGUUGACUACAGCUAUAAAAUAAAUGAUAAUUAUAUUUAUUUGAUACUUCCUAAAUGUUGUUACUUGAGAGUUAAAACGAUCUCUUUCCUGUG
rnacentral:lncRNA from 1 species